rnacentral:rRNA from 1 species
GGUGACUCAUAGUACUUAAUCGGAUCGCAUGGGCUUGUCCCGCGACAAACCAUUCAAGUUUCUGCCCCAUCAUGCUUUCGAUGGUAGUGUAUUGGACUACCAUGGCUUUCACGGGUAACGGAGGAUUAGGGUUCGAUUCCGGAGAGGGAGCCUGAGAAACGGCUACCACUUCCACGGAAGGCAGCAGGCGCGUAAAUUACCCAAUCCUGACUCAGGGAGGUAGUGACAAGAAAUAAUGGGUCGGGGUUCUGCCCCGGGACUGCAAUGAGACGAAUUUAGACCCCUUAUCGAGGACCAAUUGGAGGGCAAGUCUGGUGCCAGCAGCCGCGGUAAUUCCAGCUCCAAUAGCGUAUAUUAAAAUUGUUGCAGUUAAAAAGCUCGUAGUUGGAUUUCUGGUAGUGGGCAAGAGCUCGUUGCACGUUGCUCGCGUUCAUUGCCAUCCUUCUGUUAACCUAUCAGGGCAUUCUAUUGUCAGUUAGGGGCUCAGAUAUUUUACCUUGAGAAAAUUAGAGUGUUUCAGGCAGGCUUGUGCCCGGAUACAUUAGCAUGGAAUAAUGGAAUAGGACUUUAGCCUCUUCUGUUGGUCUGAGGGGUUGAAGUAAUGAUUAAUAGGGAUAGUUGGGGGCAUUAGUACUUAACUGUCAGAGGUGAAAUUCUCGGAUUUGUUAAAGACUAACUUAUGCGAAAGCAUUUGCCAAGGAUGUUUUCAUUAAUCAAGAACGAAAGUUAGGGGAUCAAAGACGAUCAGAUACCGUCCUAGUCUUAACCAUAAACUAUGCCGACUCGGGAUCGGGGGCCAGAGUUAACUGCCUUCGGCACCGUAUGAGAAAUCAAAGUCUUUGGGUUCUGGGGGGAGUAUGGUCGCAAGGCUGAAACUUAAAGGAAUUGACGGAAGGGCACCACCAGGCGUGGAGCUUGCGGCUCAAUUUGACUCAACACGGGGAAACUUACCAGGUCCAGACAUAGUGAGGAUUGACAGAUUGAUAGCUCUUUCUUGAUUCUGUGGGUGGUGGUGCAUGGCCGUUCUUAGUUGGUGGAGUGAUUUGUCUGGUUAAUUCCGUUAACGAACGAGACCUUAGCCUACUAAAUAGUCGCAACAAUUACGAUUGGCUGCGUCUUCUUAGAGGGACUUUGCAAGCAACUGCAAGGAAGUUUGAGGCAAUAACAGGUCUGUGAUGCCCUUAGAUGUCCUGGGCCGCACGCGUGCUACACUGACGCAUACAGCGAGUAUCACCAGCUCCGUGAGGCUGCUGGUAAUCAGCAAUAUGCGUCGUGCUGGGGAUAGAUCUUUGGAAUUUUUGAUCUUGAACGAGGAAUGCCUAGUAAGCGCAGGUCAUCAGCCUGCGUUGAUUAAGUCCCUGCCCUUUGUACACACCGCCCGUCGCUCCUACCGAUUUCGAGUGGUCCGGUGAACCCUUUGGACCGAGAGCGCCUCGUGAGCUUUUGGAAAGUCGAGUAAACC